GAAAUGCGAUAAGUAAUGUGAAUUGCAGAAUUCAGUGAAUCAUCGAAUCUUUGAACGCACCUUGCGCUCCUUGGUAUUCCUUGGAGCAUGCCUGUUUGAGUAUCAUGAAAUCUUCAAAGUAAAUCUUUUGUUAACUCAAUUGGUUUCUACUUUGGUAUUGGAGGUCUUUGCAGCUUCACACCUGCUCCUCUUUGUUCAUUAGCUGGAUCUCAGUGUUAUGCUUGGUUCCACUCGGCGUGAUAAGUUAUCUAUCGCUGAGGACACUGUAAAAGGUGGCCAAGGUAAAUGCAGAUGAACCGCUUCUAAUAGUCCAUUGACUUGGACAAUACUUUUAUGAUCUGAUCUCGAAUCAGGUAGAAAUACCCGCUGAACUUAGGC
rnacentral:misc_RNA from 1 species